rnacentral:rRNA from 1 species
UAAGGAAUAUUGGUCAAUGGACGCAAGUCUGAACCAGCCAUGCCGCGUGAAGGAUGAAGGCCCUCUGGGUUGUAAACUUCUUUUACAGGGGACGAAAAAAGGGAAUUCUUUCUCACUUGACGGUACCCUGGGAAUAAGCACCGGCUAACUCCGUGCCAGCAGCCGCGGUAAUACGGAGGGUGCAAGCGUUAUCCGGAUUUACUGGGUUUAAAGGGUGCGUAGGUGGGUCUGUAAGUCAGUGGUGAAAUCUCCGGGCUUAACCCGGAAAUUGCCAUUGAUACUAUAGGUCUUGAAUCAUCUGGAGGUAAGCGGAAUAUGUCAUGUAGCGGUGAAAUGCUUAGAUAUGACAUAGAACACCAAUUGCGAAGGCAGCUUACUACGGAUGCAUUGACACUGAGGCACGAAAGCGUGGGGAUCAAACA